rnacentral:ncRNA from 2 species
GACAGAGGGUGCAAACGUUGUUCGGAAUUACUGGGCGUAAAGCGCGUGUAGGCGGCUAUGCAAGUCGGACGUGAAAUCCCACGGCUCAACCGUGGAAGUGCGCUCGAAACUGCGUAGCUAGAGUCCUGGAGAGGAAGGUGGAAUGCUUGGUGUAGAGGUGAAAUUCGUAGAUAUCAAGCGGAACACCGGUGGCGAAGGCGGCCUUCUGGACAGUGACUGACGCUGAGACGCGAAAGCGUGGGGAGCAAACAGG